UACGUAGGGGGCAAGCGUUGUCCGGAUUUAUUGGGCGUAAAGAGCGUGUAGGCGGCUUUACAGGUCCGUUGUGAAAACUCGAGGCUCAACCUCGAGACGCCGGUGGAAACCGUAAAGCUAGAGUCCGGAAGAGGAGAGUGGAAAUUCCUGGUGUAGCGGUGAAAUGCGCAGAUAAUCAGGAGGAACACCCGUGGCGAAAGCGGCUCUCUGGGACGGUACUGACGCUGAGACGCGAAAGCGUGGGGAGCAAACAGGG
rnacentral:rRNA from 1 species